ACUAAAUUGACACAACUCUUGCCUUCCUGCAAAGCAAACUUGUUUUAUAAUUGUAUUUCUCAGCCAGUGCUCACCUCAACAAAGAUCCACCUCACUAAGCUGGAUUUUGCCAGAGAUCCUUCUUCUUUCUCUAGCAGAAGAAGGGCUUGCUUUUGAUAGAAGUCACACUUGCAUGGGUGACUGGGGUGAGUCAUGGACCCAACAAUCCCACUUCACCCCAAAUACAGGUUUUAGCACAUCCUGCAGGCAACAUUUGCUCAGAUGCUCCAUAUGAUGAGGCAAAGCCCAUUACACUUUCUGGCAGAGUCCCUGAAGGAUGGGCAGUGGUACAAAAGCAGUCGUCCUCCCUUCUUUCCGCCCCCACACCCCAGAAGUGGGAGAGGGGAAACAGCACCAGAACACCAUGUCCCAUGUGUCCCUGUAUUGGCAGUGACUAACUGAGGCAGAGAGUGAUCCCUGAUACAAAAUAAAAUUGUUAAAAAUAAACUCCAUGACUCAUCUAUUCAUGGCAAGGAGUAUGAACCUUUUGGAAAUGAAUUCACUUGUGUUCUGUGGUCUAAACAAAACCUGACAAAGUGAAUUUUUCCCUGCCUAGACCUGUGGUUGGUGUCAAAGGAACUGAGCUUUUUCUCCAGUUUGAAAGUGGGACCUGAGAAGGUGGUUGUUUUCUAGGUCAGAUCUCUGCUAAUGCUUCAGGAUUGUAGGGUGGUAUUUGUACAUCAGUGAUAGAUGUAUUGUCCUCGUAGAAUAAAGUACACACCUUUAUAGACAUGAUGAGAAUUGUUUAUUGGUAUUCUUCAGAACAUGAUUAAGUUCCUCAUUUAGAUAUUCCUGAUGGCAGUGGAACAAGUUACCAGACCUUAUGAUAUUUUCUUCCCUAAGCUUUUCUUCAACUUACUUCCCUGAAAAAAUAAUUUUUAAACGCUAGGUUGGCUGAGAAGGUGCUCCUCAGUGGGGCUUCUGGAAUAUCUAUGAAGUUUAAAGUAAAGUUGGUGCAUAUUUCCCAAUAAAAUGAUAAAAUGAACCAAUAUAUGAUUAUUUCUGCAAGAUCUAAGCAGUCUCUACCCUUUCUGCUUAUUUCUAUUCCAUGCCCUGCUUUUUCCUUACGCAAGCUUUUCCAAUCAACUUUUUCUCAAGCUGAGAUGCAAACUGGAUCACUGAAGCAAUCCCAUUAGAGAAAUGGGUUUUUCAGGCUUUUCUGUGUGGGAGAGUAGGAUUUUGUUUUUUUACUCCAGCCUGUUUAAUCAGUCCUGUUUACAGCCUGGCCAAACAAACAAUUGCACCGCUACAAGCAAGGGCAUGGCAAAGGAAGACAACAAGCAGCUAGGAAGGGCAACAUGGAAAAAGGAACUUCUUGAGCUGUUUGUGUUUUUCUUUCCACCGCAGCCCAGCCAGCUGAGCACCCAGCUGCAGCACUGUUGCACCUAAUUUGUGCCCAUGAGGAGAGUAGUAGAGAGCAACCCUGACCUGGUGAAAAUUAGAAAUACUGCAAUGCAAUGCAUACUGCAGCACCUCUUGAAAGGGAAUUGCCAGAAUUUAAUUGCAUCCUCCUCUUCUUAAACAAGUUCAAAAUAGGCUUUCAUACCUAGAGGCGAUUUUUUGGUUAUUGGGAAAUGACACAGUAGAUGCCCUGCGAGCCAGUUUCCCCCACACUCAUAAGAAAAAAGGUCAAUGGACAGAGAGGGAGUGGAUUUCCCUAGAAAAAGCCUUUGUGCUUUCAGCCAUCAGACCAUCAUCAUUGCAGGGACUGCCUGGUGGAUCUGCGUCCUGGAGUGGUGGUGCUCAUGGACAAAUCCCCGGCCCAGACUGGUCCCCUGUGCUUUCCCCAUGCCCUUGGCUCCCAGCGGCACUGGUGCACCAAGGCUGUGUCCCUGGGGCUCUGCACAGGGAGCAGAGGGAGCUCUGCCCCAGCACAUCCUGCUCCCCAGAAGGCAAGCUGGUGACUGCAGGGAACAGAAACAGCUGUCUAAGGCUGCCAGCUCUGCCAGGCUGAUGGCAUAGGAAUUGCAUCAAAUAAGGGAAAUUGACUCCUUGAUAUGUUCUGUUUUUAAAAUGGCCUGUGAUGUUACAUGAUAAGUUGUUUUAGGGCUUGUAGGUCAUUAGCUCAGAGGAUCUGAAAAAAUAAUAUCUGAAGACAGACUUCUAAAGGAUUCACUUUAAAUAGCUUAUUCUGUGAGAAUGAAAAAACAUCAAACUAAAAUUAUUGCAGAACACCGAUUCCCAUCUCUUUUACACUGUGGAAGUGUCAGUGUGCAAGAUGGAAACUCAAGCCCACUGGGACAGUAAAUAUUUUGAAUCUGUGUUUUUUUGCAAGAUGGAAGAAAACAAAGCAGCUGCCCACAAGGUUUCAUCUGCUCUGAGUACCAUGGCAACUCCACCAGUGAAGGGGGGAGACGAGUUUGGUCCAUUGCUUGGCAGUACCUUGAAAAGUAUACCUGGAGGUAUAAGUCAUCUAAAUACUAAUGAAAUUUAGCCACCUUUUGGAUGGCCUAUCUCAUAUAUUUUUUUACUUUCUUCUUUUUCCUUCAAAAUUUAAAAGGAACUUUGAUUUUGUUAGCGUUUGUAUUAAAUAUUUGUCCUCCAUUAAGAUGGUAUUGAUAUAAUUUGGCAUGCAUACUGUUCUUAAGUCACUGAAAAGAGUGGUAAAGAGCACUGAAGAACACUGUUUGCCAUGGAUCACUGUUUGCCAUGGAUCUGAAAAUGUAUAAAUAUUAAUAUAUUUAUUUAAUGUAAGAAAAUUAAUAGGCAGGAUACAUUUUGAUGCACAGUUCUGAAAUCUGGCUCUUUGUCUAAAGCCAAUGUAAAAAAUAAAUGGGUUUUAAGCCUAUGUAAAGUUUAAAUUAUCCAGCAUCUUUGUCACUUAUUCCAUGUCAAGUGGGUUAGAAUGUAGUGAUUGUGAUAAGGAGGCUUUUCACAUCCAUUUCUACCAGUAGUAACCCAAGACGCAGAGGGGGGUGAAGAACAAGGGUCAUAUUUAUAAUCUGGAAUGCUGCAAAAUGUAUCUCUUCAAGUUUUCAGCUGAACUGAGAUAUUUAUCUUAACAAGAUCUAAUUAGACCUAAUUUCCAUAGCAUAUCAAUUAUUUUCCUCAUUAGAGUAGCUAAUGCCAUGUUCAGAUAUCAUGGCAAUCAAGCUUGUGAUUUCUGGAAAAACUGGUUAGAAGGCUUAGUAUUAAGUGUGUUUCCAACUGUGAAAUUUAUCCUUCUGAGCAAUGCCUCCCAGUUUACUCACUUUGUUCCAGGAUUCUCUGCAGCAUAUGGCCACUGGAACCCAUUAAAUAACACAAAGUAAGACAGGCAGCGAUGAGUCAAAAAUAGCUGCACUAGUGAAUCGCCUUUCAAAAUUCUGUCUCUAACAAGAAAAAUAAUGAAGAAUAAGGCAUACAAUUAGAAGAAAUUAAGGUCAAUUUUCAAGCCGGGUUGCCUACAUGGUGGUUUCAAAAUCCACGUUAGGCACCUCAAAUAAAAGCAGCCUGAUUGAACACCUGCAGCUCUUGGCAAUGCACUCGUGUGUAUAAGGCAGCCAGGCAAUUCUUGCACUCGGAGUCUCUACCUCCUGAUUUUAUUUUCCCCAGUUCCUAAACAUCCUAAAACUCUGGGUUCCAACCACUAGGUUUAACAUGUUCCUUUUUCCUCCUAAGGAAGAUACCCAGUGCUUCCAGUGCAGGGCCAUAUGUGUGCCAUAUACUUGUUGGACAAGUCCCACUGGCUCAGCGUGAGAGUGAAGGCACUUUUUUCAUUACAGGAGCUUGUCACAUUUUAUUUGGCCAAAUGCAUUGUCACAAGACACUUGGAUUCCUUGCAUCCAGCCUGCGUCAUCUACAAGUUUGGUGUCUGUUCUAAGGUUUUUUUCUAGAGGUUUUGUUACAGAGGUCAGUAUAUCUGCAAGGAGAUUUAUCUUCUAGAGUGGCUGCCUGCAGCAUUGAGAUUAUUUGGGCUUUGGAGGCAUCCAGAUCCCACAGCUGAAGCACCUUCUUCCUAGGGAGCUACAACAGUCAGGCUGAAUCUCACCUCACUGUUUUCUGGGCUGUUGCCUCCAAUCCCAGAUCAGACACACAACAUUUUGCUAAUAUGAAAAGCAGAGGUAGAGACCUCUGCUGCUAUAAGAAUGUUACAUUAGCAAUGGAUCUGAGCUCAAUGUAUGGUUGUACUGACAUGCUGCAUGGCUGAGGGCAGCUUUCAUUCACAGCUACCCCCUAACCAAGCAUUUAUUAAUUUUUUCUCAUUUAAAAUACGCCUCAUGCUCUCAAUGAGUACAUCUUGAAUGAGGCACAGGGAACAUGCAAGUUUCUGAAUAAAAGGAAUUCUUUACUUGAUGCAUUUUCAUAGAAUCACAAAAUAGUUUUGAAGCUUUGUAGUUAUUAUUAUUAUUUCGUUAUGUUUGUAUCCAACUCCCUUCAUUCGCAAAUAAAAAGAUGCUUCAUGUGGCUGUCCAAAUAAUGUAUUCAAAGUAAACAAGAAAAUAAACAACUCUGCUCUUGUGACCUGUGUUAUGAAGAAUAAAAAGUUACCUAAAGGUCCAGAGAAGGUA